ACUGGGCAUGGUGGUGCAUACCUGUAAUCCCAGCAACUCGGGAGGCUGAGGCAGGAGGUUUGCAAGUUCAAAGCCAGCCUCAGCAAUUUAGCGAGGGCCUAAGAAACUUAGUGAAACCCUGUCUCAA
rnacentral:sRNA from 1 species